rnacentral:rRNA from 1 species
CCUACGGGUGGCAGCAGUGGGGAAUAUUGCACAAUGGGGGAAACCCUGAUGCAGCGACGCCGCGUGAGUGAAGAAGUAUUUCGGUAUGUAAAGCUCUAUCAGCAGGGAAGAAAAUGACGGUACCUGACUAAGAAGCCCCGGCUAACUACGUGCCAGCAGCCGCGGUAAUACGUAGGGGGCAAGCGUUAUCCGGAUUUACUGGGUGUAAAGGGAGCGUAGACGGUUAAUCAAGUCAGAAGUGAAAACCCAGGGCUCAACCUUGGGACUGCGUUUGAAACUGAGUAGCUAGAGUGCAGGAGAGGUAAGCGGAAUUCCUAGUGGAGCGGUGAAAUGCGUAGAUAUUAGGAGGAACACCAGUGGCGAAGGCGGCUUGCUGGGUCGAUACUGACAUUGAGGCACGAAAGCGUGGGGAGCAAACAGGAUUAGAUACCCGAGUAGUC